rnacentral:rRNA from 1 species
CCUACGGUAGGCAGCAGUGAGGAAUAUUGGUCAAUGGGAGGAAUCCUGAACCAGCCAUGCCGCGUGCAGGACGACGGCUCUACGAGUUGUAAACUGCUUUUGUACCGGGGUAAAAUGCUCUACGAGUAGGGUUUUGAAAGUACGGUACGAAUAAGGAUCGGCUAACUCCGUGCCAGCAGCCGCGGUAAUACGGAGGAUCCGAGCGUUAUCCGGAUUCAUUGGGUUUAAAGGGUGCGUAGGUUGUUUUAUAAGUUAGCGGUGAAAUACCGAUGCUCAACAUCGGGGCUGCCGCUGAUACUGUAGGACUAGAGAUCGGAUGCAGCAGGCGGAAUGCGUGGUGUAGCGGUGAAAUGCUUAGAUAUCACGCAGAACCCCGAUUGCGAAGGCAGCCUGCCAAGCCAUGACUGACGCUGAUGCACGAAAGCGUGGGGAUCAAACAGGAUUAGAUACCCUAGUAGUC